GACGAACGCUGGCGGCGUGCUUAACACAUGCAAGUCACGGGGGUCCCGCAAGGGAUAACCGGCGAACGGGUGCGUAACACGUGACCAACCUGCCCCUGUGUGGGGAUAGCCAUGCUAACGCGUGGGUAAUACCGCAUACGGUCCCUUGGGGGAGUCCCUGGGGAAGAAAGCUCUGGCGCACGGGGAGGGGUCGCGGCCUAUCAGCUAGUUGGCGAGGUAAUGGCUCACCAAGGCGACGACGGGAGCUGGUCUGAGAGGAUGGCCAGCCACAUUGGGACUGAGAGACGGCCCAGACUCCUACGGGAGGCAGCAGUGGGAAUCUUGCGCAAUGGCCGAAAGGCUGACGCAGCGACGCCGCGUGUGGGAGACGCCUUUCGGGUGUAACCACUGUUGCCCGGGACGAACAGUCCUUUUUCGAGAGGUC
rnacentral:rRNA from 1 species